rnacentral:rRNA from 2 species
GGCGGACGGCUGAGUAACGCGUGGGAACGUGCCCCAAAGUGAGGGAUAACGCACCGAAAGGUGUGCUAAUACCGCAUAUGAUCUUCGGAUUAAAGAAUUUAUUCGCUUUGGGAGCGGCCUGCGUCGGAUUAGAUAGUUGGUGAGGUAAUGGCUCACCAAGUCGACGAUCCGUAGCUGGUCUGAGAGGAUGACCAGCCAGACUGGAACUGAGACACGGUCCAGACUCCUACGGGAGGCAGCAGUGAGGAAUCUUCCACAAUGGGCGAAAGCCUGAUGGAGCAACGCCGCGUGCAGGAUGAAGGCCUUCGGGUUGUAAACUGCUUUUAUUAGUGAGGAAUAUGACGGUAACUAAUGAAUAAGGAUCGGCUAACUACGUGCCAGCGGCCGCGGUCAUACGUAGGAUCCGAGCGUUAUCCGGAGUGACUGGGCGUAAAGAGUUGCGUAGGUGGUAAGUAAAGCGAAUAGUGAAAUCUGGUGGCUCAACCAUUCAGGCUAUUAUUCGAACUCACUUACUCGAGAGUGGUAGAGGUAACUGGAAUUUCUAGUGUAGGAGUGAAAUCCGUAGAUAUUAGAAGGAACACCAAUGGCGUAGGCAGGUUACUGGACCAUUUCUGACACUGAGGCACGAAAGCGUGGGGAGCGAACCGGAUUAGAUACCCGGGUAGUCCACGCCGUACACGAUGGAUACUAGCUGUUGGAGGUAUCGACCCCUCCAGUAGCGAAGCUAACGCGUUAAGUAUCCC